UACAGAGGUCCCAAGCGUUGUUCGGAUUCACUGGGCGUAAAGGGUGCGCAGGUGGGUUUGCAAGUUCGGUGUGAAAGCCCCGGGCUUAACCCGGGAAUGGCAUUGGAUACUGCAGAUCUGGAGGUUCGGAGGGGGGACUGGAAUUCUUGGUGUAGCAGUGAAAUGCGUAGAUAUCAAGAGGAACACCAGUGGCGAAGGCGAGUCCCUGGACGACACCUGACACUGAGGCACGAAAGCUAGGGGAGCAAACAGG
rnacentral:rRNA from 1 species